AUCUCCAUAGCUCAACGGUAGAGUGGUUCAUUGAAAAUGAAUUUGUAUAGGUUCAAUUCCUAUUCGAGAUA